rnacentral:ncRNA from 1 species
AUGGGCCUCGUGCUCAUCCUGGCAACAGGAACGACCAUAAAGAAGCCGUCGAGAGAUAUCGGAAGAGUUUUCUUUUCUGUUUUAUAGCCGUACUACCAUGGAAGUCUUUCGCAGAGAGAUAUGGUAGAUGGGCUAGAAGAGCAUGACAUAUACUGUUGUGUCGAUAUUUUCUCCUCGGACCUUGAAAAUUUAUGGUGGGGACACGCAAACUUCUCAACAGGCCGUACCAAUAUCCGCAGCUGGUCUCCAAGGUGAAGAGUCUCUAGUCGAUAGAAUAAUGUAGGUAAGGGAAGUCGGCAAAUUAGAUCCGUAACUUCGGGAUAAGGAUUGGCUCUGAAGAUUGAGAUAGUCGGGCUUGAUUGGGAAACAAUAACAUGGUUUAUGUGCUCGUUCUGGGUAAAUAGAGUUUCUAUCAUUUAUGGUAGUUACUUGUUCCCCGGAUAGUUUAGUUACGUAGCCAAUUGUGGAACUUUCUUGCUAAAAUUUUUAAGAAUACUAAUUGGGUUAAACCAGUUAGUUCUUAUUAAUUAUAACGAUUAUCAAUUAACAAUCAAUUCAGAACUGGCACGGACUUGGGGAAUCCGACUGUCUAAUUAAAACAAAGCAUUGUGAUGGCCCUAGCGGGUGUUGACACAAUGUGAUUUCUGCCCAGUGCUCUGAAUGUCAAAGUGAAGAAAUUCAAGUAAGCGCGGGUCAACGGCGGGAGUAACUAUGACUCUCUUAAGAAGAUAUGGGUCUGAAUAAUAGCGUAGAAGGGGAGUCAUUCCGUAAUUCGUAAAUCGUAAAAAUCAGAUCAAGUUGAUUCAAGACCUCCUCGUGGUAUCUUCUGGAUGCUAUUAGACUGAAGUUCUUUUGGUCUAAUAGUAACUAACUUGAGCAGCGAAACAGUCCUAUGGGGUUGCCAGCCCCUUGGACAGUUCAGUUUGAUUGGCACUAAUAUGCAAAAUACAACGCCUCGGAUAAUAAACACUAAUUCGUUGACGAACCAAAUCCCUACGGUCUCUAGCCUAGGGGC